CCAUCUAGACUUCUCAUAAAAAAUAAAAAAUAAAAAUAAACCCUUGAUCUACCCUCAAACCCUCGUGGCCUCGUCAACCUCUGUCCCUCAAACCCAGCUACAGCCGCUUCCUUCUGUCCUCCAUAUUCUUCACAAUUCACAGCAAAGCACAUUUUACUCUCAUCUCUUCCAUCACUCUUUCGAUCGAUCUUCUACAUAUCUCAAGGAUGACCAAUUCUUCCAGUGGACCCCAAGCAUCUUCAACGCCUGUAGGCUCUUCAAGAGUAGAGGAGUUUAAUGUGAAUCCUGAGGAUUUGUUUCCUAGGGAACCAAAUGAAGAUGCAGGUGAAUAUGUGAAUAUAGCAGGUGGUGAGAACACUCACAAUACCACAUCAAAAGAAACAGAGGUAGAAAACUCAUUCCAAGCUUACAAGAAACCAAGAAGAUCAAAAGUCUGGAAUGAUUUUCUUGGACCUGAAUUAAUCAAAGGGAAAUGGAAAGUAAGGUGUAAGUAUUACAACAGUCCUCUUUCGAUCUUGGCAUCUAAAAGUACUAGUCAUUUGAGUCUGACAUGUUUGUCCAAAUAAGACAUUUCAUAUGAAACAACAACAAUUAAUUAACUUUAUGCCAUCUGAUUCAAGUGCUGUUGCAAACCAUUGUGAAUUUGUUAGUGCUUUGCAUAAUGGUAAAUUUGACAUGAUAAAGACGAGAGAGGGGAUAGCACAUUGGAUCACCAUGCAUGAGGAUCCUUUCACUACUGUAGAAGAGGAGGGAUUUAAUUUGAUGCUAAAGCGGGGAAUACCACAAUGGACAAGUGUGUCUCGUCACACUAUAAGAACAAACUCCUUCAAAGUGUGCGAUAUUGAGAAGAAGAAACUGAAAGAAUUAUUUAAAACAACAGAUCGAAUUAGUUUGACUACAGAUUUUUGGCGAUCAAGGCCUCAAAAGAUCGAAUACAUGGUUUUAACAGUUCAUUUUGUGGAUCCGAAUGGAAGCUUCAGAAAUGGGGGCUCAAUUUUUUUCACUUGCCUCUUCCACGUAAACGUCCUAAUAUAGCUGAUUGCAUCUUAACAUGUUUAAGAGAGUGGGAAAUUGAAGACAAAAUUUUCACAAUCUCGGUGGACAAUGCAACUGCAAAUGAUUUUUGUAUUCAGAUUUUGAAGGAUAAUUUUGCAUCUAAUGGAAGGCUGUUAUGCAAUGGAAGGUUAUUUUAUGUGCGUUGUUGUGCACAUAUCCUCAACAUAAUGGUUCAACAUGGGCUUCAACAAAUUAAGAGAAUCAUUGAAAUAGUACAUGACAACGUAGACUUUUUGAACUCAAGUGAAGCACGACUUAAACGGAUUGGUGAUCUUGUUAGCCAAUACAACUUGCAAUCACGAAAACUAGUCCUUGAAUGAAAGACUAGCUGGAAUAAAACUUAUGAUAUGUUGGAUUGUGCUAUCAAGUUUAGAAAGGUAUUUCCUAGAUAUGUUUUACAUGAUAAUAGUUAUCAUUGGUGUCCUGAUGAUGAUGAAUGUGAAAAGAUUGAAAAAUUGCUUCAAGUCUUAACAGUUUUUAAAGACACUACUAACAUCAUAUCAGGUUCGGAAUAUCCAACUUCUAACUUGUUUCUUAGUGAGGUGCAUAGAGCUAAAGUCUUGUUGGAUCAAAAAGCUGAGUCUCCUGAUGAUUUUGUUAAGAGUAUGGUUCAUAACA